rnacentral:rRNA from 1 species
UACGUAGGGUGCGGGCGUUAAUCGGAAUUACUGGGCGUAAAGGGCGCGUAGGCGGCCUGCUAAGUCGAACGUGAAAUCCCUGGGCUCAACCCAGGAACUGCGUCCGAUACUGGUUGGCUUGAAUCCGGGAGAGGGAUGUGGAAUUCCAGGUGUAGCGGUGAAAUGCGUAGAUAUCUGGAGGAACACCGGUGGCGAAGGCGACAUCCUGGACCGGCAUUGACGCUGAGGCGCGAAAGCCAGGGGAGCAAACGGG